GUGAUAUAUCACUUGGCCUAGCAGGACUGCCUGCAGGGGAUAUGGUGACAUUUUACUUUGCCCAGCACCAAGAUGACUUGAAUCUGCUGCCUUUGUUCUACUUUCAGAAGACAUUGUGACAUAUCGCUGGGCCUAGCACCAAGGUGAUGUGAAUCUUCUGCCUGGACCUGCUCACAGAGGGAAUUGUUACAUAUUUUUGACUUCAUCAACUAUUUGAUGUGACUCUCCUCUCUAACCUGGGCCUUGCCCAUAAAAAACAUUGUGGCUUAUCUCUGGGCCCAAAACCUAGGUGAUGUGACUGUCUUCUUAGGGUCAUGCCCACAGUAGAGAGAUGCCUUAUUGCUAAACCCAGCACACAGGUGAGGUGAUUCUUCUGUCUGGUCCCUGCCCACAGGGGUCAUGAUGACAUCUCUCUAAGCCCAUCACCUAGAUUAUGUGAGUUCUCUUUUUCUUCUGUUAGCUAUAUAGAAGAUUGUGACAUAUUGCUUGGCCCAGACCUCAUGUGAUGUGAAUCUCCUCUCAUGCCUUGGUCCUGUUUUUUUUUGGCCGUUGUUGUUUUGUUUUGUUUUUUGAGAUGGAGUCUUGCUCUGUUGCCUAAGCUGGAGUGCAGUGGCAUAAUCUAGGCUCACUGCAACCUCUGCCUCCUGGGUUCAAGUUAUUCUCCUGCCUCAGCCCCUGAAUAGCUAGGAUUAAAGGUGAGUGCCACCACACUCAGCUAAUUUUUGUAUUUUUAGUAGAGAUGGGGUUUCACCAUGUUGAUUAGGCUGGUAUUGAACUCCUGACUUCGUGAUCAACUCGCCUCUGCCUCCCAAACUUUUGGGAUUACAGGCAUGAGCCACCAUGCCCAGUCAAGAUGAUGAUACAUUUCUAAACCCAGGUUAUAGGCAGGUGAGGGUUCUUCUACCUAUACACACGUUUAAAGGGAUGUUGAAUCUCACACGUGGUCUCAGGGCCACAGGUACAAGCAUGGGUCUUCACCAGCAUGAAUAUCUCAGAGCAUACUGCGACUCUCCAGUGUAAUGUAUAAAGCUCUCAGGUGGGACAGUGUCCUAACAGGAUCCAGAACACAGAAAAGAUGUUGAUGCUCCUAUGCACACCCAGGUCACAGUAAAAUAUGUCAUUUUCCCACAUAAUCAUAGCCCAAUGUUGAGAUUCUGCAUCUCACACCUGAAAGAAGUUGAAAGAUGGAAAAUUGACUCUCUUAUAUAGAUCUGGUCUACAGGUAGGUUGGUGACAUUCAGAUCAAAAUUAAGUACACUUGUGAGGCUAUAACUCUUCUAAGAAGACACAGCUCACAGGAGCAACUGAUGCUCCUAUGAACAAAUCCAGUCCGUGAUUGAGAUUCUAACUCAUGUACUUAUUGUCAGGCCUCUGAGCCCAAGCUAAGCCAUCAUAUCCCCUGUGACCUGCACGUAUACAUCCAGAUGGCCUGAAGCAACCGAAUAUCCACAAAGGAAGUGAAAAUAGCCGUAACUGAUGACAUUCCACCAUUGUGAUUUGUUCCUGCCCCACCCUAACUGAUACGAUAUAUUCUCCCUCUGCCCUGAAGAAGGUACUUUGUAAUAGUCUCCCCCCACCUUAAAAAGGUACUUUGUAAUAUUCUCCCCACCCGUGAGAAUGUACUUUGUACACCUAUCCCAAACCUAUAAGAACUAAUGAUAAUCCCACCACGCUUUGCUGACUCCUUUUUUG
rnacentral:lncRNA from 1 species